GGCGGACGGCGCGGCGACCACCUGAACCCGGGCAGCCCCGGACCGCCCGCGGGUGCGGACUGUAAAUCCGUCGUCAAAGCUACAGAGGUUCGCAUCCUCUACCCGCCACCA
rnacentral:tRNA from 1 species